AUCCAGCUGAUGAGUCUUAAAUAGGACGAAACGUGCGUCUUAGAU
rnacentral:hammerhead_ribozyme from 1 species